AGUGAACGCUGGCGGUAGGCCUAACACAUGCAAGUCGAACGGCAGCACAGUAAGAGCUUGCUCUUACGGGUGGCGAGUGGCGGUCGGGUGAGGAAUACAUCGGAAUCUACUUUUUCGUGGGGGAUAACGUAGGGAAACUUACGCUAAUACCGCAUACGACCUACGGGUGAAAGCAGGGGAUCUUCGGACCUUGCGCGAUUGAAUGAGCCGAUGUCGGAUUAGCUAGUUGGCGGGGUAAAGGCCCACCAAGGCGACGAUCCGUAGCUGGUCUGAGAGGAUGAUCAGCCACACUGGAACUGAGACACUGUCCAGACUCCUACGGGAGGCAGCAGUGGGGAAUAUUGGACAAUGGGCGCAAGCCUGAUCCAGCCAUACCGCGUGGGUGAAGAAGGCCUUCGGGUUGUAAAGCCCUUUUGUUGGGAAAGAAAAGCAGCAGGUUAAUACCCCGCUGUUCUGACGGUACCCAAAGAAUAAGCACCGGCUAACUUCGUG
rnacentral:rRNA from 1 species